rnacentral:miRNA from 1 species
GGCUGUACAAAAGGAAACUAC